rfam:Lachancea thermotolerans CBS 6340 chromosome E complete sequence.
GGGCAUGUGGCGCAGUGGUAGCGCGCUCCCUUCGCAAGGGAGAGGUCAUGGGUUCGAGUCCCAUCUUGUCCA